AGCGUAGGCGGACAUUUAAGUCAGGGGUGAAAUCCCAGAGCCCAACUCUUGAACUGCCUUUGAUACUGGGUAUCUUGAGUAUGGAAGAGGUAAGUGGAAUUCCGAGUGUAGAGGUGAAAUUCGUAGAUAUUCGGAGGAACACCAAUGGCGAAGGCAGAUCUCUGGGCCGUAACUGACGCUGAGGAGCGAAAGCAUGGGGGAGCGAACA
rnacentral:rRNA from 1 species